rnacentral:rRNA from 1 species
AUUGAACGCUGGCGGCAGGCCUGACACAUGCAAGUCGAGCGGAUGAAGGGAGCUUGCUCCUGGAUUCAGCGGCGGACGGGUGAGUAAUGCCUAGGAAUCUGCCUGGUAGUGGGGGAUAACGUCCGGAAACGGGCGCUAAUACCGCAUACGUCCUGAGGGAGAAAGUGGGGGAUCUUCGGACCUCACGCUAUCAGAUGAGCCUAGGUCGGAUUAGCUAGUUGGUGGGGUAAAGGCCUACCAAGGCGACGAUCCGUAACUGGUCUGAGAGGAUGAUCAGUCACACUGGAACUGAGACACGGUCCAGACUCCUACGGGAGGCAGCAGUGGGGAAUAUUGGACAAUGGGCGAAGGCCUGAUCCAGCCAUGCCGCGUGUGUGAAGAAGGUCUUCGGAUUGUAAAGCACUUUAAGUUGGGAGGAAGGGCAGUAAGUUAAUACCUUGCUGUUUUGACGUUACCAACAGAAUAAGCACCGGCUAACUUCGUG